rnacentral:lncRNA from 1 species
AUCAAUUGCACCAUCAACAACAGCAAUAGACUCAAUAGCAUCCUCAUUUUCGUUGCUCUUUUUCUUCUUUUCAAUUUCAUCACUCCCUACAUCAAUUGCACCAUCAACAACAGCAACAGCCUCAAUAGCAUCCUCAUUUUCAUUGCUCUUCUUCUUCUUCUUCUUCUUCUUCUUCUUUUUCUUAUUUUCAAUUUCAUCACUCCCUGCAUCAAUUGCACCAUCAACAACAGCAAUAGCCUCCUCAUUCUCUUUGUUCUUCUUCUUCUUCUUCUUCUUCUUCUUCUUUUUCUUCUUUUCAAUUUCAUCACUCCCUACAUCAAUUGCACCAUCAACAACAGCAAUAGCCUCAAUAGCAUCCUCAUUUUCAUUGCUCUUCUUCUUCUUCUUUUUCUUCUUUUCAAUUUCAUCACUCCCUACAUCAAUUGCACCAUCAACAACAGCAAUAGACUCAAUAGCAUCCUCAUUUUCGUUGCUCUUUUUCUUCUUUUCAAUUUCAUCACUCCCCACAUCAAUUGCACCAUCAACAACAGCAAUAGCCUCAAUAGCAUCCUCAUUUUCAUUGCUCUUCUUCUUCUUCUUUUUCUUCUUUUCAAUUUCAUCACUCCCUACAUCAAUUGCACCAUCAACAACAGCAAUAGACUCAAUAGCAUCCUCAUUUUCGUUGCUCUUUUUCUUCUUUUCAAUUUCAUCACUCCCCACAUCAAUUGCACCAUCAACAACAGCAAUAGCCUCAAUAGCAUCCUCAUUUCCAUUGCUCUUCUUCUUCUUCUUUUUCUUAUUUUCAAUUUCAUCACUCCCUACAUCAAUUGCACCAUCAACAACAGCAAUAGCCUCAAUAGCCUCCUCAUUCUCUUUGUUCUUCUUCUUCUUCUUCUUCUUUUUCUUCUUUUCAAUUUCAUCACUCCCUGCAUCAAUUGCAUUAUCAACAACAGCAACAGCAAUAUCCUCAAUAGCAUCCUCAUUUUCAUUGCUCUUCUUCUUUUUCUUUUUAUUCUUUUCAAUUUCAUUACUCCCUACAUCAAUUGCACCAUCCACAACAGCAACAGCAAUAGCCUCAAUAGCAUCCUCAUUUUCAUUGCUCUUCUUCUUUUUCUUAUUUUCAUUUUCAUCACUCCCUACAUCAAUUGCACCAUCAACAACAGCAAUAGCCUCAAUAGCAUUCUCAUUUUCAUUGCUCUUCUUCUUUUUCUUCUUUUCAAUUUCAUCACUCCCUACAUCAAUUGCACCAUCAACAACAGCAAUAGCCUCAAUAGCAUCCUCAUUUUCAUUUCUCUUCUUCUUCUUCUUCUUUUUCUUCUUUUCAAAUUCAUCACUCCCUAC